CCUACGGGAGGCAGCAGUGAGGAAUAUUGGUCAAUGGACGCAAGUCUGAACCAGCCAUGCCGCGUGCAGGAAGACGGCUCUAUGAGUUGUAAACUGCUUUUGUACGAGGGUAAACGCAGAUACGCGUAUCUGUCUGAAAGUAUCGUACGAAUAAGGAUCGGCUAACUCCGUGCCAGCAGCCGCGGUAAUACGGAGGAUUCAAGCGUUAUCCGGAUUUAUUGGGUGUAAGGGGUGCGGGGGCGGUCGGAUAAGUUAGAGGUGAAAUCCCGAGGCUCAACUUCGGAAUUGCCUCUGAUACUGUUAGGCUAGAGAGUAGUGGCGGUAGGCGGAAUGUAUGGUGUAGCGGUGAAAUGCGUAGAGAUCAGACAGAACACCGAUUGCGAAGGCAGCUUACCAAGCUACUUCUGACGUUGAGGCACGAAAGCGUGGGGAGCAAACAGGAUUAGAUACCCUUGUAGUC
rnacentral:rRNA from 1 species